AACGAACGCUGGCGGCAGGCCUAAAACAUGCAAGUCGAACGCCCCGCAAGGGGAGUGGCGCACGGGUGAGUAACGCGUGGGAACGUGCCCUUCAGUACGGGACAACGUCGGGAAACUGACGCUAAUACCGUAUAAUGACUCCGGUCCAAAGAUUUAUCGCUGAAGGAGCGGCCCGCGUCUGAUUAGCUAGUUGGUGAGGUAAUGGCUCACCAAGGCUACGAUCAGUAGCAGGUCUGAGAGGAUGAUCUGCCACACUGGGACUGAGACACGGCCCAGACUCCUACGGGAGGCAGCAGUUAGGAAUAUUGGACAAUGGGGGAAACCCUGAUCCAGCCAUGCCGCGUGUGUGAUGAAGGCCCUAGGGUUGUAAAGCACUUUCGUUGGGGAUGAUAAUGACCGUACCCAAAGAAGAAGCACCGGCUAACUUCGUGCCAGCCGCCGCCGUAA
rnacentral:rRNA from 1 species